GACGCGGCGGGCGGCUCCGGGAGGCGACGGGACCCCCAGGCCGGCAGCCGAGUGAAGAGGCAGGAACUGUCUACAAAUGCUCCGGCUCCGAAGCCCCGAGGGAAAGAGCAUCUUUCACGGAGCACCAGGAAUUGACGACGGUGGAAUUUGCUCAGAUCCCCUGAGGCCGGUUCUUUGAGUUUCUGUCUGGCCCUCCGGGAGAACCGUCCCAAAGUUAACUUUGAAAACACUCACAGGAGAGGGAAGGCUGUGGGGUCCUUCGCUUCUCAAACCCCAGAUGCCCCCGGAAAGAACACCGCCCCCGACCACCACCACAACCAGAUGUUUUUAAAAAGAGAUGCUAAGCAAAAGGCCUGAUUAUGAGGAAUGAGCCAAAGUCAUGCAAGGCGUGGGGCGCUAUGGGACUGCGCAGUGACGACCCAGUGAAGUAGAUGCCUUGACGAUUCCCAUUUCACGGAUGAGACGACUCCGGCACAGAGAAGUCAGAGGGCCUGUCCUGGGUCACACAGCCACAGGCGGCCCCCAGAACGGGACUUCAGGGUGCACCACUGCACCCCAGCAGAGACCUCCGCCUGGCACACAGGGAAUGCUGGAGCAAUACUUAAAUAGCAUGGCAGCUUUUCGUGUUUGGAAGCCUUCAGAAUCAUUUCCUACCCUCUCAAGGAACCCAUUCUUUAGAGGUACACACCGUUCCUGUCAGAGAGGCUAUCUUCCUAGUGCUAAAUGAUUUUUUGAUGCACUGAAAAUUAAAUUCACACUCAAAUUUCUGCAUUUGAGGAGAUUUUCCUGUACGCUGAGCUCUGUCAAAAGAGGUAUAUUGAAGAGAGGGUAGUUCUGGGACCAUUUGCAAGACAGCGCAUUGAUUGGAAGCCUAUACAUUCUGGAGUGUUGGCUUAAUAUGUUGAUCAUCCUUUGAGGUGGGGCACAAGGAAAAAUAAACUAUUUCUCCUUCAGGAACAUACAGUGGCAUAAGAGAGACCAACUUGGUGAUAACUGAUCAUAGGAUUAGACCAAGGUGCAGAAGCAAACAGAACCUCCAUAAAAUGUAAUGAUGUCUUGUGCCUGCAAUCCUAGUGCUUUCAGAGGCCAAGGUGGGAAGAUUCCUUGAGCUCAGGAGUUCGAGACCAGCCUGAACAACACAACAAGACCUCGUAUCUAUGAAAAAAUAAAAAUAAUAAAAUUAGCUGCACACCUAUUUGGUGGCACACACCUGUGGUCCCAGGUACUCGGGAGGCUGAGAUGAGAUCAUUUGAGCCCAGGAGAUCAAGGCUGCAAUCAGCUGUGAUCAUGCCACUGCCCUCCAGCCUGGACAACUGAGCGAGACCCUGUCUCCAAAAAAAGUAAAAUUAAAAAAAAAAAAAAAAA
rnacentral:lncRNA from 1 species